UCUCCUUGGGAGACUUCUUCAUUUCCUUUACAGUUUGAUAAAGGCUGGAUUGUGAAAAUAUUACCAGUGGCAUUUCUAUUAGGUUUCUCAAUGCUUUUGAUUUGUCUUAUAGUACCAAGCACUGAUCCUUUCAGUCAGAUACUGUAUCU